rnacentral:misc_RNA from 1 species
UCUUGUGUUGCUUGCCUAGCGUGAUGGAAAUUAUCCCCGGAUGAGUCGUGAUUUUCGCCUCUCACCAAUUCGUGGUGUUAGGUUGACGUGGAAGUGCUGCCCAUUUUCCUUGAAUGCUUCGCCCUUUUGCGUUGCAAUCUAGGCCCAUGGGGUGCUACUAGUUCCCUCGGAUGCAGAACAUUUGGCGGGUGCACAGCACGUUGCUGUUGGUUACCCACAAAGCGUCCAUUGCUCGAUGCACACGACGGUUGUGCCCGUCUUGGUCCCCUCUUUAAUUAGUUUGGAUGGGGCUCAUGCGGUGCCGGCGUCGCGCGGAGGAAUGCUACCUGGUUGAUCCUGCCAGUAGUCAUAUGCUUGUCUCAA